UACGGAGGGUGCGAGCGUUGUCCGGAAUCAUUGGGCGUAAAGAGCGUGUAGGCGGCCUGACAGGUCUGCUGUGAAAACUCGAGGCUCAACCUCGAGAUGUCGGCGGAAACCGUCUGGCUAGAGUCCGGAAGAGGAGAGUGGAAUUCCUGGUGUAGCGGUGAAAUGCGCAGAUAUCAGGAAGAACACCUAUGGCGAAGGCAGCUCUCUGGGACGGUACUGACGCUGAGACGCGAAAGCGUGGGGAGCGAACAGG
rnacentral:rRNA from 1 species